rnacentral:rRNA from 1 species
CAGGCUUAACACAUGCAAGUCGAGGGGCAGCAUGGUCUUAGCUUGCUAAGGCCGAUGGCGACCGGCGCACGGGUGAGUAACACGUAUCCAACCUGCCGUCUACUCUUGGACAGCCUUCUGAAAGGAAGAUUAAUACAAGAUGGCAUCAUGAGUCCGCAUGUUCACAUGAUUAAAGGUAUUCCGGUAGACGAUGGGGAUGCGUUCCAUUAGAUAGUAGGCGGGGUAACGGCCCACCUAGUCUUCGAUGGAUAGGGGUUCUGAGAGGAAGGUCCCCCACAUUGGAACUGAGACACGGUCCAAACUCCUACGGGAGGCAGCAGUGAGGAAUAUUGGUCAAUGGGCGAGAGCCUGAACCAGCCAAGUAGCGUGAAGGAUGACUGCCCUAUGGGUUGUAAACUUCUUUUAUAAAGGAAUAAAGUCGGGUAUGGAUACCCGUUUGCAUGUACUUUAUGAAUAAGGAUCGGCUAACUCCGUGCCAGCAGCCGCGGUAAUACGGAGGAUCCGAGCGUUAUCCGGAUUUAUUGGGUUUAAAGGGAGCGUAGAUGGAUGUUUAAGUCAGUUGUGAAAGUUUGCGGCUCAACCGUAAAAUUGCAAUUGAUACUGGAUAUCUUGAGUGCAGUUGAGGCAGGCGGAAUUCGUGGUGUAGCGGUGAAAUGCUUAGAUAUCACGAAGAACUCCGAUUGCGAAGGCAGCCUGCUAAGCUGCAACUGACAUUGAGGCUCGAAAGUGUGGGUAUCAAACAGGAUUAGAUACCCUGGUAGUCCACACGGUAAACGAUGAAUACUCGCUGUUUGCGAUAUACAGCAAGCGGCCAAGCGAAAGUGUUAAGUAUUCCACCUGGGGAGUACGCCGGCAACGGUGAAACUCAAAGGAAUUGACGGGGGCCCGCACAAGCGGAGGAACAUGUGGUUUAAUUCGAUGAUACGCGAGGAACCUUACCCGGGCUUAAAUUGCAGAUGAAUUACGGUGAAAGCCGUAAGCCGCAAGGCAUCUGUGAAGGUGCUGCAUGGUUGUCGUCAGCUCGUGCCGUGAGGUGUCGGCUUAAGUGCCAUAACGAGCGCAACCCUUGUUGUCAGUUACUAACAGGUUCCGCUGAGGACUCUGACAAGACUGCCAUCGUAAGAUGUGAGGAAGGUGGGGAUGACGUCAAAUCAGCACGGCCCUUACGUCCGGGGCUACACACGUGUUACAAUGGGGGGUACAGAGGGCCGCUACCACGCGAGUGGAUGCCAAUCCCCAAAACCUCUCUCAGUUCGGACUGGAGUCUGCAACCCGACUCCACGAAGCUGGAUCCGCUAGUAAUCGCGCAUCAGCCACGGCGCGGUGAAUACGUUCCCGGGCCUUGUACACACCGCCCGUCAAGCCAUGGGAGCCGGGGGUACCUGAAGUGCGUAACCGCGAGGAGCGCCCUAGGGUAAAACUGGUGACUGGGGCUAAGUCAUAACA